rnacentral:rRNA from 1 species
CACGUAGGGGGCAAGCGUUGUCCGGAUUUAUUGGGCGUAAAGAGCUCGUAGGCGGCUCGGUAAGUCGGGUGUGAAAUUUCGAGGCUCAACCUCGAAACGCCACCCGAUACUGCUGUGACUAGAGUCCGGUAGGGGAGCGUGGAAUUCCUGGUGUAGCGGUGAAAUGCGCAGAUAUCAGGAGGAACACCGAUGGCGAAGGCAGGUCUCUGGGCAUUAACUGACGCUGAGGAGCGAAAGCAUGGGGAGCGAACAGG